CCUGGAAUAUUGCUUCCUUCAACUGUCCUGUAUGGACCAAAUCAUCUCAUAGGAAGUCUGAAGAAUAGAGAGCAGAGGAAGAGGAGAAAAGGAUACAGAGAGCUGUUCUGCAGAGCACCCUGCUGAGUGCCUGUCUUGUCUCCCUUCGAAGAAAGGAUUGUAAUUUUCCAUUGAUUCUUCCGAAGCUGGACAAUAGAGUAUCGUGUAUGGGCCAAUGAUACUGCAGCGAAAAUGAUCUGGGCCACACCUAGGAUUUACAGGGUGGGAGGACAUCGCUACAACAAACUUUGACUAUGGCAAAAUGAGAGCUUUGUUAGUUCCAGAUAUUCUAUUUGUUGAUAAAUGAAUGUGAGUUCAAAGGGAAAAAAAUAACAGAGUUGCGGUAGAGACAUUACUUUUGCAACAAACUAUCAUAUCUGAUAUUCUAAUGCAUCAAUGACACUAAGAGACUGACUUCAUAUGACUGACCAUAUUCCAAGACAUAUUUAAGUAUACUUUAAGAGGAUACUCUUUUACUCUUUUUGAAGAGGAUAUAAAUGUUUACAGCACUUCAGUCAGAAGUGUGAAGUAAGAUUUAGUUGUGAGGUGACCUUGUAACCUCUAAACUUUCAGUAAUUUCAUGGCUUUCUUCAGUCUUGCACAGAUGCAUUUGUGGUCUGCGACUCACAUACUAUAUUUUGACUCUUAAUUCUAUUUUCUUUUCUCGUCUUAAUGCAUCACUCUCCCUUUCCCCCAUUUUCUGUUCUUUCAAUUUGAAUCUUCUACUCCACCUAAUUGUCAGUACCUCCAGGGAAGGAAUUGAACAAAACAUUCCAAUGCUUUCUCACGCUCUCAUCUCUUUCCUUAUAGCUCACACAGCCGAGCACAAAGUUUGCCAUUAUAUGUUGUGUCCCACAGUAAAAAGAAAAUCACAGUGAUUAAUGAGUAUGACAUGGCUAAGCUUCUGAUAGUCAGUGAAUGCUUCAUAUGCGUCAGCUGGUGCUUGAAUGAGUAAAUGGCUGCUGUUUAUGAUCGUUUGUCUACAGAGACAUGUCUUAUAUUGUAUUGUGCAGGUGUUAAUACAUACAAUACAAUACUUAUAUUGUACAAGUGUAAAUAGGUGUCUCUGAGUCAGGUAUGAUCUGAGAAGGGGAACUGUAGGUUUUUGGUGUGUCAUGUUUGUCUGUUGCCCUUCCCAUGGUGGAGUCAGUUGGGAUUUAGAGAGUGCCUGAAUGACGAUUUCAAGUUUUUUUUAUACAAAACAGAAUACAAGCAUCUGACUGCAUAAUCGAUAUAAUAUACAGCAAUGGGUUGUGCCAUUUGCACACAGUUGAUAGAUAUGUGGAGUGUGUCUGGGUCACAAAGAGCCCAGACAUCAAUGGACAUGUCCAAUUUACAGGUCUCUCAGCAGGACUACCACAGACUGUCAGGCCUCCACUAUACGUCCUCUUUCUCUGAUGCCGAGGACUGCUGCGAUGACAUCACAAGCUCCUCCUCCUCAGACUAUCUUGGAAUAGAAUGUUAAUGUUUGGUUUGGUUUGGUUUUAGACUCUUGCAGGUUAUUGACACCUUGUGCCAAAAAUUGCCAUUGUUCUCUUUGGCUCCAAAUUGUGUAAAAGGACGAGAUUUAUUCUGUUUCUGCUCAAUAUGGGCGACAAAGCCCACAUUGCCAGAGAAUGAAGACAUGAAUGUAAUAAUACAGCAGUGGAAACUGGACCUUAAUCAUUUAACUGUAUAAUGAUGAUGAAAAUGAUCAAUACCAUUCAGUUAGAAGUAUAAAUGUACAUUCUGUACACACGCGUUCGCGUUGUUUCUCUUGGGAGGAACAAACCCAUUACCAAUGAAAGUUUUGAUAAAAUGAUGAUAAGUGCUCUGAUAUUGUGUACUGGUAUGACUAAAUACUGAAAGAAAUAAAACUGCAAAUACAUGAUUCUUCAAUUAUUAUUCUUAUAGCAUCCUUUAAGAAAAGGUUUUUAAAGAGUUGUUGAAACAGUAUUGCUUCAGCCAUUGUAGAGUCUAGUCUCAUGAGACCACAUGAGAUUAAUAGUAAUUAAUUCACAUGUUAAUCCACUGAUAAUGUAAUUAACAACUGGAGCACAUCAAGACAUGUGUUGCUGAAGUUAAUUGAAUUCAUCAACUAAAUUAAAGCAUUUCAGAUAAAAAAAAAAAAAUGAUCAGUUUGCAGUUUUAAUGUUUUUGCAUCCUAUACCAAAGAUCACUUAUGAAACGAAGAACACUGCUUGACAGGAUUUUAAGGUUGUUUUAAGAUCAUCACCAUAGUGAUCACCAUUCACAUAUUUUGCAAGGAAUAGUCACUGUUAACAAAGUAGAACAUCCCGAUCCACUUACAGAUUUGCUGUAAUCCACACAAAUAAAUGCAUAAUUUGAAAUUGUAAAUGACUGUGAUUUGUUACACUGUAUGCAGAAAGGUAAAGUAACAGGUGCAUAUUGGGAAAUUUUGUUUAAAAUACUAGCAUUGCAAAAUCUAA